AUGGUCGAAGGCUCGGAGAUGGACAUCACCAACCUCAAGUUCCUCCUUCUUUGCUUCCAACAGAUGUCGGGCCUCAAGAUCAACUUCGAUAAGAGCGAUGUUAUGGUGAUGGGAUAUUCCCCCGCUGAGUCUGUGGCCAUUGCCAACAGACUUAAUUGCCGCCUGGGCUCUUUCCCCACUACCUACCUUGGGACGCCCAUUAGUGACUCGCGCCUCUCUGUCGCAGACCUACGCCCCUCCGUGACCAAGCUCCAGACCAGAUGCGAGCCCUGGCAGGGGAGGUGGCUUUCCAAGGCGGCCCGGACUAUCCUUAUCAACUCCUCCCUCUCCAGCCUCCUCUUGUUUCUUAUGAGUUUCUACAGCCUCCAUGAAUCUCUCCAUAAGGAGAUCGCCAAAAUCCAGUCCCGAUUCUACUGGGCUGGCGAGCAUGGCAAGCAGAAGUAUCACAUGGUCAGCUGGCCUGACAUCUGCAAGCCCAGGGAGCAGGGUGGAUUGGGCAUCAUGUGCUCUAAACGGAUGAAUAUUGCCCUUCUAUCCCGGUGGCUGUGGCGUAUC
rnacentral:rRNA from 1 species